GUGGGGAAUAUUGGGCAAUGGGGGAAACCCUGACCCAGCGACGCCGCGUGGGGGAAGAAGGCCUUAGGGUCGUAUACCUCUGUUGUGUGGGAAGAAGAGCGUGACGGUACCACACGAGGAAGUCCCGGCUAACUACGUGCCAGCAGCCGCGGUAAUACGUAGGGGACGAGCGUUGUCCGGAUUUACUGGACGUAAAGGGCGCGUAGGCGGUCAUUUAAGUCAGCUGUGAAAUGGUUUGGCUUAACCGGAUCAUGCGGUUGAAACUGGAUUACUGGAGUGCUGGAGAGGCAAGUGGAAGACCCAGUGUAGCGGUGAAAUGCGUAGAUAUUGGGAAGAACACCGGUGGCGAAGGCGACUUGCUGGCCAGCAACUGACGCUGAGGCGCGAAAGCCAGGGGAGCAAACGGGAUUAGAAACCCCUGUAGUCC
rnacentral:rRNA from 1 species